GUGGGGAAUAUUGGACAAUGGGCGAAAGCCUGAUCCAGCCAUGCCGCGUGUGUGAAGAAGGUCUUCGGAUUGUAAAGCACUUUAAGUUGGGAGGAAGGGCAGUAAGUUAAUACCUUGCUGUUUUGACGUUACCGACAGAAUAAGCACCGGCUAACUUCGUGCCAGCAGCCGCGGUAAUACGAAGGGUGCAAGCGUUAAUCGGAAUUACUGGGCGUAAAGCGCGCGUAGGUGGUUUUGUAAGUUGGAGGUGAAAUCCCCGAGCUCAACCUGGGAACUGCCUCCAAAACUGCAUGACUAGAGUACGGUAGAGGGUAGUGGAAUUUCCUGUGUAGCGGUGAAAUGCGUAGAUAUAGGAAGGAACACCAGUGGCGAAGGCGACUACCUGGACUGAUACUGACACUGAGGUGCGAAAGCGUGGGGAGCAAACAGGAUUAGAAACCCCAGUAGUCC
rnacentral:rRNA from 1 species